AUUGAACGCUGGCGGCAGGCCUAACACAUGCAAGUCGAGCGGAUGACGGGAGCUUGCUCCUUGAUUCAGCGGCGGACGGGUGAGUAAUGCCUAGGAAUCUGCCUGGUAGUGGGGGACAACGUUUCGAAAGGAACGCUAAUACCGCAUACGUCCUACGGGAGAAAGCAGGGGACCUUCGGGCCUUGCGCUAUCAGAUGAGCCUAGGUCGGUUUAGAUAGUAGGUGAGGUAAUGGCUCACCUAGGCGGCGAUCCGUAACUGGUCUGAGAGGAUGAUCAGUAACACUGGGACUGAGACACGGUCCAGACUCCUACGGGAGGCAGCAGUGGGGAAUAUUGGACAAUGGGCGAAAGCCUGAUCCAGCCAUGCCGCGUGUGUGAAGAAGGUCUUCGGAUUGUAAAGCACUUUAAGUUGGGAGGAAGGGCAGUAAGCUAAUACCUUGCUGUUUUGACGUUACCGACAGAAUAAGCACCGGCUAACUCUGUGCCAGCCGCCGCAGUAACAC
rnacentral:rRNA from 1 species